AGUGAACGCUGGCGGUAGGCCUAACACAUGCAAGUCGAACGGCAGCACAGUAAGAGCUUGCUCUUACGGGUGGCGAGUGGCGGACGGGUGAGGAAUACAUCGGAAUCUACUUUUUCGUGGGGGAUAACGUAGGGAAACUUACGCUAAUACCGCAUACGACCUACGGUUGAAAGCAGGGGAUCUUCGGACCUUGCGCGAUUGAAUGAGCCGAUGUCGGUUUAGCUGGUUGGCGGGGUAAAGGCCCACCAAGGCGACGAUCCGUAGCUGGUCUGAGAGGAUGGUCAGCCACACUGGAACUGAGCCACGGUCCAGACUCCUACGGGAGGCAGCAGUGGGGAAUAUUGGACAAUGGGCGCAAGCCUGAUCCAGCCAUACCGCGUGGGUGAAGAAGGCCUUCGGGUUGUAAAGCCCUUUUGUUGGGAAAGAAAAGCAGCAGGUUAAUACCCCGCUGUUCUGACGGUACCCAAAGAAUAAGCACCGGCUAACUUCGUG
rnacentral:rRNA from 1 species